GGAGUUUUGCAAACGUUUGAUACUGAAAAAGAUCACCCAGGACGGUAGAUCACUCGGCUCGUGGGUCGAUGAAGAACGCAGCAAAUUGCGCGUCGACAUGUGAACUGCAGGACACAUGAACAUCGACGUUUCGAACGCACAUUGCGGUCCAUGGAUUCCGUUCCUGGGCCACGUCUGGCUGAGGGUCGACUAC
rnacentral:rRNA from 1 species